rnacentral:tRNA from 1 species
GCGCUCAUGGCGCGGCUUUCGCGCCUGGGCUCAUCGGGGCUCAGGCGCGGCUGGCCCGCCAGGCCCUCCCGUGCCAAGGCGCGAUAGGCGCCC